rnacentral:rRNA from 1 species
UGGGGAAUAUUGCACAAUGGGCGCAAGCCUGAUGCAGCAACGCCGCGUGAACGAUGAAGGUCUUCGGAUCGUAAAGUUCUGUUGCAGGGGAAGAUAAUGACGGUACCCUGUGAGGAAGCCCCGGCUAACUACGUGCCAGCAGCCGCGGUAAUACGUAAGGUCCGAGCGUUGUCCGGAAUCAUUGGGCGUAAAGGGUACGUAGGCGGGUAAGCAAGUUAGAAGUGAAAUCCUGUAGCUCAACUACAGUAAGCUUUUAAAACUGCUCAUCUUGAGAUAUGGAAGGGAAAGUGGAAUUCCUAGUGUAGCGGUGAAAUGCGCAGAUAUUAGGAGGAAUACCGGUGGCGAAGGCGACUUUCUGGCCAUAAUCUGACGCUGAGGUACGAAAGCGUGGGUAGCAAACAGG